UGGCCUACGGGACGCAGCAGUGGGGAAUAUUGGGCAAUGGGCGCAAGCCUGACCCAGCAACGCCGCGUGAAGGAAGAAGGCUUUCGGGUCGUAAACUUCUUUUCUCAGGGACGAAGAAAGUGACGGUACCUGAGGAAUAAGCCACGGCUAACUACGUGCCAGCAGCCGCGGUAAUACGUAGGUGGCAAGCGUUAUCCGGAUUUAUUGGGUGUAAAGGGCGUGUAGGCGGGAGCGCAAGUCAGAUGUGAAUACUCAAGGCUCAACCCUGAGCCUGCAUUUGAACCUGUGUUUCU
rnacentral:rRNA from 1 species